GUCCCAAGAAAUCUUCAUGGGCUCCAGGUCCGCUGACCUUGAAAGCCCUAAAUGGUCUCAGCCCAGUAGAAGGGGAGGAGCGUCUCCACGUCCAUCGCUCAGCCCGGACACGGAGGUCCAGCUCCGAGGGUCUUCUGGCAGGUCCCUCAGUGCGAGAAGUGAGGUUACAGGGGCCCUUUUCGGUUGUCGUGACUGCCCUGUGGAACGCCCUCCCACCAGAUGUCAAGGAGACAAACC